GGGCGGGGUAGGCCGGAUCCUGAGCUGUGUCUCAGCGCCCUGUGCUCUGGGGCCUGUGCUGUUGGAUUGGCACUCCUGCCAGGCAGCCGCCU
rnacentral:pre_miRNA from 1 species